rnacentral:rRNA from 1 species
AGAGGAAGUAAAAGUCGUAACAAGGUUUCCGUAGGUGAACCUGCGGAAGGAUCAUUAAUGAAUUUAAUUGACGGGUUGUCGCUGGCCUUGCUUCAAGGCAUGUGCACGCCUUGAUCAAAUUCACCCACUUUACACCACUGUGCACUUUUCAUGGAUUGGCUUACUUUAAAGGGUAUUUAUUACCUGGGUCUUUCUAUGCAUUUUAUACCAACAUUGUUUGUCUUUGAAUGUCUAUUGCGAAUCUAUAACGCAUUAUAUACAACUUUCAGCAACGGAUCUCUUGGCUCUCGCAUCGAUGAAGAACGCAGCGAAAUGCGAUAAGUAAUGUGAAUUGCAGAAUUCAGUGAAUCAUCGAAUUUUUGAACGCACCUUGCGCUCCUUGGUAUUCCGAGGAGCAUGCCUGUUUGAGUGUCAUGUUAUUCUCAGCCCCCUCAGAUUUUAUCUCGAGGUUGGGCCUGGAUUUGGAGGCUGCUGGAUUUUAUUCAGCUCUUCUUAAAUAAAUUAGUGUGAAUGUUCGCUGAAUAUCGCUCGGUGUGAUAAUUGUCUACACUGUCGAUUUUUCGGUGAAGCUAAUAAAAAUGUUCAUGCUUCGAAUUGUUCUGUUGAAGAACACUCUUAUCGAAUUUGACCUCAAAUCAGGUAGGACUACCCGCUGAACUUAAGCAUAUCAAU